rnacentral:rRNA from 1 species
AUUGAACGCUGGCGGCAUGCUUUACACAUGCAAGUCGAACGGCAGCGCGGGCUUCGGCCUGGCGGCGAGUGGCGAACGGGUGAGUAAUGCAUCGGAACGUGCCCAGUAGUGGGGGAUAGCCCAGCGAAAGCCGGAUUAAUACCGCAUACGACCUGAGGGUGAAAGCGGGGGACCGAAAGGCCUCGCGCCAUUGGAGCGGCCGAUGUCGGAUUAGCUAGUUGGUGGGGUAAAGGCUUACCAAGGCGACGAUCCGUAGCUGGUCUGAGAGGACGACCAGCCACACUGGGACUGAGACACGGCCCAGACUCCUACGGGAGGCAGCAGUGGGGAAUUUUGGACAAUGGGGGCAACCCUGAUCCAGCCAUGCCGCGUGCGGGAAGAAGGCCUUCGGGUUGUAAACCGCUUUUGUUCGGGAAGAAAUCCUCUGGGCUAAUACCCCGGGGGGAUGACGGUACCGGAAGAAUAAGCACCGGCUAACUACGUG